rnacentral:tRNA from 1 species
GGGGUCGUAGCGAAGCCUGGCAUCGCAACGGGCUCCAGACCCGUGGAUCAGGGGUUCAAGUGAUUGCGGUAUUCCG